AAAAUUUUAAGUUAAAUAAACUAUAAACCUUCAAAGUUUAAUAUAUAAUUCAAUAUUAUAAAUUUU
rnacentral:tRNA from 1 species